rnacentral:misc_RNA from 1 species
AUUCUUCAGCGCGUGAAUCACGAAGCGCCUAUGCGGGGAAAUCAGUCCGCUGAACUGAUUUCCGGUCCCGCUUCGAUGCAUCGGAUAAUGCGUAAAAAGCACAGAAAUAGAGCGGUUCCAACGACUCCCUUUUAACCGGAACCGCUCUAAGCUUUUGUUUUCGUGUAUAUCUUUAUCCCAAACAGGCUCCCAUUCCUGGGGAUAUGCUUUAACAAUAAUGGCGCAU